rnacentral:rRNA from 1 species
AUGAGGCCGAUCAGAGAAGGCGAGGCGCUGGUGGGAGUCGCCGGGGCUCCGGCGGCGGCCGGCCACGGCGCGCACCCGGCGUUCUGGAGGACGCCGACGCCGUACCUCUUCCUGGGCUUCACGCUCAUGAUGGGGCUCAUCGCCGUGGCGCUGCUCGUGCUCGUCUGCACGCGCCGCAAGCCGUCGGGCUCGUCGCGGCGGGGGAGCGCCGCCGAGGAGGCGUCGGCGCGCGGGAUGGUGCCGCUCGACAGGGAGCCCAAGGUCGUCGUCAUCAUGGCCGGCGACGACUUGCCGUCCUUCCUCGCCAGCGCCAGGCCGUUCGCGUUCCCUGAUGCCAUCGAGCCGCCACGCCAGGCGGACGCGGUCUAA